rnacentral:rRNA from 1 species
GUGCCACCAUCAGGUGGCCGCAGAGAAUAGGCCCAAGCGACUGUUUACCAAAAACAUAGGUUUCUGCUAAGUCGCAAGACGAUGUAUAGGAGCUGACGCCUGCCCGGUGCUGGAAGGUUAAGGGGAUUAUUAUGAAAUGUCUGUAAAAAUAAAAUUUAAAUAAUAACUAGGAGGAGUAAUAUGUUUGAGAACUU